rnacentral:rRNA from 1 species
UUUAGCUUGCUAGAGUAGAAGGAGUUGCGAACGGGUGAGUAACGCGUAGGUAACCUGCCUACUAGCGGGGGAUAACUAUUGGAAACGAUAGCUAAUACCGCAUAACAGUGUUUAACACAUGUUAGAUGCUUGAAAGAUGCAAUCGCAUCACUAGUAGAUGGACCUGCGUUGUAUUAGCUAGUUGGUGGGGUAACGGCCCACCAAGGCGACGAUACAUAGCCGACCUGAGAGGGUGAUCGGCCACACUGGGACUGAGACACGGCCCAGACUCCUACGGGAGGCAGCAGUAGGGAAUCUUCGGCAAUGGGGGCAACCCUGACCGAGCAACGCCGCGUGAGUGAAGAAGGUUUUCGGAUCGUAAAGCUCUGUUGUAAGAGAAGAACGUGUGUGAGAGUGGAAAGUUCACACAGUGACGGUGACUUACCAGAAAGGGACGGCUAACUACGUGCCAGCAGCCGCGGUAAUACGUAGGUCCCGAGCGUUGUCCGGAUUUAUUGGGCGUAAA